UACGGAGGGUGCAAGCAUUAAUCGGAUUUAUUGGGCGUAAAGGGCGCGUAGGCGGUUAGAAAAGUCAGAUGUGAAAUCCUGGGGCUCAACCUCAGAACAGCAUUUGAAACUGUCUUUCUAGAGGGUAGGGGGAGAAAACGGAAUUCCACAAGUAGCGGUGAAAUGCGUAGAUAUGUGGAAGAACACCGGUGGCGAAGGCGGCAUCCUGGACCGACACUGACGCUGAGGCACGAAGGUCAGGGGAGCAAACGGG
rnacentral:rRNA from 1 species